rnacentral:rRNA from 1 species
UACGAAGGGGGCUAGCGUCGUUCGGAAUCACUGGGCGUAAAGCGCGCGUAGGCGGAUUGUUAAGUCGGGGGUGAAAUCCUGAGGCUCAACCUCAGAACUGCCUUCGAUACUGGCAAACUUAGAGUCCGGGAGAGGUGAGUGGAAUUCCUAGUGUAGAGGUGAAAUUCGUAGAUAUUAGGAAGAACACCAGUGGCGAAGGCGGCUCACUGGCCCGGUACUGACACUGAUGUGCGAAAGCGUGGGGAGCAAACAGG